UUGUUUUUUUUUUUUUUUUCAUAAACUCCUCAGUCUCCGGUGGUUCUUUAUUGCAGUGUGAGAAUGGACUAAUACUCUUAACAGGGACAUUUAUAAACAGGCCAUGUGAGGACACAGCACCCCAUUCCUGGGCUGUGUCAUCUUAGAGCAGGGUGGUCUCUCUGAAGACCGGGCUGUCUGCAGAGUGCGUGACAUCCAUCUGCACCCAUCUCCUUCCCAGGGACAGCCUUUGCUUCAGUUCUUCAUGUGGUCACCAAGGAGCAAAGCUCAGAGACAAAAGGCAUUCUGCCCAGACAGCCCCAGGCCUUAUCAUCCAUCUCCUGUUGGUUCUGAGGAGAAGAUGGGAACCAGGCUGGUUUUUCCCAGGGCAGGUUCGAUGUGUGAAUCCCCCACCGGGUGGUGAAAGCGACAAGCUCUCUGUCCCGUUUGCUUUCUAACACGUGGUACCGGGCGACGUGCUUGCUGCUCCACCUGAGCGUGGCGGUUUGCUCUCAUCUGGUCUGGGCACCCGUGUGCUUCCUGGAUCAGCCACUCUUGCCCAUGUCCCUGUCUGCUCAGUAGCCAAGGAGCACUGUCCUCGGGUGUGGGGCAGAACCUCCCUUAGGGUGGGGUGGUGUGAUUUAUGGCAAACCCAAGAUCCCAGGUAGAGCUGGCCCUGAGCCCCCGCUGCACAGGGAGCCCCCGCUGCACAGGGAGCAGGCGGCCUGUGGGAGAGCUCACUGCUGGGGAGGGCGUCUGUGCAGGAUGAAUGGGAGCUUCUGAGGCUCAGGACCCCGGAGCAGAAGUCAGGACCCGAAGACAUCGAAACAGAAUUUUAACACUGGCCUAAAGGAUGGUGAGAAAUGAACUCCUGGUUGCCGACCAGACUUCCCCUUCUCAUCCCGACGACGCGGGACAUAGGGUAGACGGUCCCAAUGCCGAGGAGCAGUAGGAGGACCAGCACAGGAGCUUGCAAGCAAGAGCCCAGAGCAAGAGCCCCUCUCCCCUGGUGUCCAAGGAUGGUUCUGCUGACCCAAGGGAGGAACACAAGAAGGGAAGCUUGAGAUGCUACAAACAACAAAAUGGCACCCUGUGUGCAAAUCCUGGUGAGUGCACUUGUGGGUGCUGCAGCCACAGGCUCUGGAAGACACCCCUGCCUGGGCGAGCCAUCCAGUCCUUCUCUUGCUGUUGGGGCCUGGAUGCUCCAGCAGGGGCAUUGGGCUGGGGUGACUCUUCUUUGCUCUGACUUGAUGUGAGCCCAGUGGCUGCUUUGGAAGUGUCACCCUCAGGGGGUUUUGGUUGGCCUAAGAAUCAAUAUUUAUAGGGUGUCCUGCAUUGUGUGUUUUCUAUUUGUAAUUCUCAAGCAUGGCUCCCAUUUCACUUAGUAUCCAAAGGAGUAAGAAAUCCUCACGUUGGAUUCCAUGAACCUAGGAACCCCAGUGUCUUCUGAACAGCCUUUUCCUCUUUGUGUUCCCAGCACACAAACUGUUAGAAAGAUUUAUGUUAGAAUCCACCCAGCAUCUGCUACCCAGAGCCUAAUUUUGCCCUCCCUCUGAACUGAAUUUUUAAGUUUUAAGUCAAAUACUCGCUGAUGUUUGCGCUUCCCCACUUCAUGCAUAUUCUUCACCUGAGCCCCUGCACCUGGGGAGCAAACCCCUGUCCUGGAGGAAGCCUGAUGCGCCACCUCCAUUGUUAGAAAGCUCCCUCAGGCUGACGUAACCCUGUCCUGGACCUGGAGGAAGCCUGAUUCACCGCCUCGAUUUUUAGAAAACUCCUUCAGGCUGUCCUAACCCCAUCCUGGACAUGGAGGAAGCGUGAUUCGCCACCUCCAUUGUUAGAAAGCUCUCUCAGGCUGACAUCACCCUGUCCUGGUCCUGGAGGAAGCCUGAUUCGCAGCCUAGAUUGCUGGAAAGCUCUCUCAGGCUGGCGUCACCCUGUCCUGGAGGGAGCGUGAUUUGCCGCCUCCACUGUUAGAAAGCUCUCUCAGGCUGAGGUAACACUGUCCUGGUCCUGGAGGAAGCCUGAUUCACCGCCUCCAUUGUUAGAAAGCUCUCUCAGGCUGAGGUAAGAUUGGCUUCCCCGCCGCUUCUCCCUGGAGACCCUAGUUCUGCUCUUUGAAGCCAAGCAAGAUUACUCUUUAUAGGGCAGCUUUGCCUUUAUUUGUAGAUAGCUUUUACACAUAUUUGCUCCCAAAUCAACAAGGUUUUCCCCAGGUACCACCUGGACUAUUCUUCUGUCAGCAUUUCUCACGUGAUACUGAGUCAGGAGCCUUUACUGUCCUCACCCUCGUGUGGGUGGGAGCCUGGUUUCUCAUCACUCUGGUUAGACUGUGCCUAAUGUGGGGUGCUGCUUUUUAAGGACAAUCAGCUCUAAGUUGAGGCUCUGAUUCUUGCACGUGCUUCCAAGCACGUCUCUUCUUGCCAUCUCCAUUGCCACCCCAAAGUCACUCCCCUCGGACAGGGACGGCAGCAUCUCAGUCAUCACUCUGUACCCCAUUUGACCAGCUGGAGAGUCCUGUGUCUUCACACAACUGUGAGAAUGAUCAUUGGAAGCUAUGCAUUCCAUAAUAGCUUUAUGUUAAAUUCAUUUCUCAUCUUUCAUUGGCCCUUGGGAAGACGUCCAGAUCCCUUAACAUAGCUUACGAAACCCUCUCAAACUCAGGGCCCACCUUUCUCUCCAACUUCAUUCCCCCAGCCCCGACGUCAUCUGAGGUUCAAGUUCAGUAGCCCCUCUUGAUAGCUGAGCACAGGAAGCUCAGGGCCCUGCGUUUUGGGCAUUUGAAGGGUUCCGCUGGUCGUGGCUUUCCCCACCAUCUCCUCCGUUUCCACACGACUUGCUCCUGCAUACCUCAGCUUCAGUGCCGCUCCGAGAGGCCUUUCCUAAUGUCUGAACCAGGAGAGGCUUCCCACCACAAGCUCCUCUAUGGGAUUCUGGUUAAUUACCAGUGAAACGUCCACCUUUCCAGCCCGCCUGUAAGCUAGGCCAUAAUAGGGGCCGUAGCCCUCCUUACAGCCGCGUUCUUGUCACCUGCGCGGUGUCCAGCGCACACUCGCCUCCUACGUAUUUGCCUUGUGAGGGAUCAAUCGGUGUCGUAGAGCCGUUCAGAGCUAUUCCUCUAUUAAGUGAUUUGGAUACCAUGGUGACUAAGAAGCAUGCUGUGAUCGCUGGGGUUUAUGGAAAUAUUGUGUGCUCCUGAGCGUUCAAACAGGUGGAAUAUCAACUUUAUUAAGCCCAGGUGGUGGUGCAGUUUAAAUGCGAUUUCAUCUUUUCUUAUUUUAAUUUACGAAUUGCUCAGUUGAUCAUAUUAGAAAAGAGUACCCACAUUGUGCCUGCUGGAGCCAUAUCUUUGUAAAAAUUCUGAAAGCAAGGGGAAAUGUUGGAGUAAAAUUAUCACAUUUCCUAACAAUGUCUGUUUUGACUGGAAGCUCUAAUGCAUAAUUUUGUGUCAACCAGAAUAAAAGUAAUCUUUUUUUUUCCU
rnacentral:lncRNA from 10 species